GGCACUGUAGCGCAAUGGAUAGCGCGUUGGACUUCUAAUCAAAAGUUGGGGUUCGAAUCCCCUGGGAUGGCCU
rnacentral:tRNA from 1 species